GACGAACGCUGGCGGCGUGCUUAACACAUGCAAGUCGAACGAUGAAGCCGGAGCUUGCUCUGGUGAAUUAGUGGCGAACGGGUGAGUAACACGUGAGUAACCUGCCCUUGACUCUGGGAUAACUGCUAGAAAUGGUAGCUAAUACCGGAUACGACCCUCGGAGGCAUCUCCAGGGGGUGGAAAGAAUUUCGGUCAAGGAUGGACUCGCGGCCUAUCAGCUAGUUGGUGAGGUAACGGCUCACCAAGGCGACGACGGGUAGCCGGCCUGAGAGGGUGACCGGCCACACUGGGACUGAGACGCGGCCCAGACUCCUACGGGGGGCAGCAGUGGGGAAUAUUGCACAAUGGGCGCAAGCCUGAUGCAGCAACGCCGCGUGAGGGAUGACGGCCUUCGGGUUGUAAACCUCUUUUAGUAGGGAAGAAGCGAAAGUGACGGUACCUGCAGAAAAAGCACCGGCUAACUACGUGCCAGCAGCCGCCGCUG
rnacentral:rRNA from 1 species